rnacentral:lncRNA from 1 species
CGGAGUCUUCGUCGACGGCCCCGGCGCCGGCAAGCACAUCCAGGCCGGCGCGAAGAAGGUGAUCAUCACGGCUCCCGCCAAGGGCGCCGACAUCCCGACCUAUGUCGUCGGCGUCAACGAGGGCGACUACGACCACAGCGUCGCCGACAUCAUCAGCAACGCGUCCUGCACGACCAACUGCCUCGCGCCAUUCGUCAAGAUCUUGGACGAGGAGUUCGGUGAGACGGAGGAGCCUGCUGGUCACCACAGUCUGCUACUGCACAUGCGCAUGCGCAGCUGACUGUUUUUUUUUUAUACAAUAUUGCAGGAAUCGUGAAGGGGACCAUGACGACGACGCACUCGUACACCGGCGACCAGAGGCUGCUGGACGCGUCCCACCGCGACCUCCGGCGGGCCCGCGCGGCGGCGCUGAACAUCGUGCCGACGAGCACGGGCGCCGCCAAGGCCGUGGCGCUGGUGCUGCCGCAGCUCAAGGGGAAGCUGAACGGCAUCGCGCUGCGGGUGCCGACCCCGAACGUGUCCGUGGUGGACCUGGUGAUCAACACCGUGAAGACUGGCAUCACGGCCGACGACGUGAACGCGGCGUUCCGCAAGGCCGCCGCCGGCCCGCUGCAGGGCAUCCUGGAGGUCUGCGACGUGCCGCUCGUGUCCGUCGACUUCAGGUGCUCCGACGUGUCCUGCACCAUCGACGCG